rnacentral:rRNA from 1 species
AGUGAACGCUGGCGGUAGGCCUAGCACAUGCAAGUCGAACGGCAGCACAGUAAGAGCUUGCUCUUACGGGUGGCGAGUGGCGGACGGGUGAGGAAUACAUCGGAAUCUACUUUUUCGUGGGGGAUAACGUAGGGAAACUUACGCUAAUACCGCAUACGACCUACGGGUGAAAGCAGGGGAUCUUCGGACCUUGCGCGAUUGAAUGAGCCGAUGUCGGAUUAGCUAGUUGGCGGGGUAAAGGCCCACCAAGGCGACGAUCCGUAGCUGGUCUGAGAGGAUGAUCAGCCACACUGGAACUGAGACACGGUCCAGACUCCUACGGGAGGCAGCAGUGGGGAAUAUUGGACAAUGGGCGCAAGCCUGAUCCAGCAAUACCGCGUGGGUGAAGAAGGCCUUCGGGUUGUAAAGCCCUUUUGUUGGGAAAGAAAAGCAGCAGGUUAAUACCCCGCUGUUAUGACGGUACCCAAAGAAUAAGCACCGGCUAACUUCGUG